rnacentral:rRNA from 1 species
ACCCGCUGAAUUUAAGCAUAUCAAUAAGCGGAGGAAAAGAAACUAACAAGGAUUCCCCUAGUAACGGCGAGUGAAGAGGGAGAAGCCCAGCACCGAAGCCUGCGGCAGGUUUGCUGUUAGGCAAUGUGGUGUUUAGGUCGGCUCGCGGGACUGCCGCUCCAUUCUAAGUCCAGCUUUGAGUAUGGCUUCUGGACUUGGCCCAGAGAGGGUGAGAGGCCCGUCCGAAUGGAGGAUAAGAGAAGUGGGCAGUUCACUAGGCCGGCCUUCGAGUCGGGUUGUUUGAGAAUGCAGCCCAAAGUGGGUGGUAGACUCCAUCCAAGGCUAAAUACUGGCACGAGUCCGAUAGCGAACAAGUACCGUGAGGGAAAGUUGAAAAGUACUUUGAAGAGAGAGUAAACAGUACGUGAAACCGCAUAGAGGUAAACGGGUGGCGUCAAGCUGCACGCCUGGAGGAUUCAGUCGGUCAGGAUGUUGUGUGUGCGCCUGGCGCAUCUAUCAGUCGGAGUGAGACAGGGUGGUCUGCUGGAUGACAGCGGGCCCGGCCGCAAGGCUGGGAUUGGUAUUCCGUGUUGUGUGCGGAGCUUGCCACCUGUCUGGGGACUGUCUGGCCGAUGCACUUUCUCUGUGUGGCGAACACCACGACCGGUGGUACUGCCAGUCUGCUGUGGUGAAGUCAGGUUUGGUCGGCAUUUGCGUGUCGGCUGGGCCUGAUCAUAGGCAGGCGGUGUGCGGGCGCGCAGAAAUGCGUGCUUGUAGGCCGGUCUGUCAACGGGUCUGUUUGCCGACGAUUGUAGUAGUUGGCAGACGGCCUGGUGUACCAUGGUGGUAGGAAUAACUGUGCAGGGCACCGGUGAUGUCGGUCUCGAAUUUGGCUCGCGCACACACUACAAGUGGUUGUGUGGGGCGUCGUUGCGGUCUGCCUGUGAUCGGGUGUGGCUGUCGUGUUGCCUGCGUAAAGCGGGUCCGGCGGUGGCCUGGUCUUGGAUGGUAUCGCUAGCGGCGUCUCCAGUGCGGGCCGAUGUGGGCCUAACAGUCGGUGGUGUAGUGGUAGACGAGCUACCCGACCCGUCUUGAAACACGGACCAAGGAGUUCAACAUGUGCGCAAGUCACUGGGCGUUACGAAACCCAAGGGCGCAAUGAACGUGAAGCCUCGGCUCGACUGAGGUGUGGUGAGAUCCUGCUGUUACUCGCUCGCAUCAGCACUUGUGCUGCAGGCACAGCCAGCACCAGGCUAAGAGCAGCAGGCGCAUCACCGGCCCGUCUCAUGAUGUCGCUGUUGGCCGGCUGCUUUCGGGCAGUCGCCAGCGUGUCUUCGGGGCGGAGCAUGAGCGCACACGUUGAGACCCGAAAGAUGGUGAACUAUGCUUGCGUAGGUUGAAGCCAGAGGAAACUCUGGUGGAGGACCGCAGCGAUUCUGACGUGCAAAUCGAUCGUCAAACGUGAGCAUAGGGGCGAAAGACUAAUCGAACCAUCUAGUAGCUGGUUCCCUCCGAAGUUUCCCUCAGGAUAGC